rnacentral:lncRNA from 1 species
UUGGGGCCCAGUGUACACGUAAUACAUAGAAAAUCAGUUGCAGGUGCGAAGACCCACGUGGUUCGAUGGCCCAAAUGACGACACGUAAGCGAAUAGAAUCUCCCACAUUGAUAUCUGCCACCUGGACGACAUGUCAGCCAUGCGAACCAGCGAUUUAAAAAAUAUCCUGCAAGGGCUGCACCAACCAAAGAGGCAAAGACCGAAGGGCCCCUCAGGAUAUAUUCAGACCACAUAAAGCUUUUGUUCCCUCAGAAGCCGACACCUGGCACCGCGAAGCACCACAGCCUCAGCUUUUGGUCCUCUCUCUCAACCUUUCAACCUUUGGACCAUUGUGGUGGCGUUCUCACACACAAACCAAGAGGUUCUGUGGGUCGUUAGCAUCCAUUUACUAUCAAAAAAUGACUUUUUUACCCUCGUUUACUUAGUAUUCAAAUCAAUUUCUUUUCCUUU